AAAAGGAGAGAACAUUUAAAAAACAACAACAAAAAAAACUGGUUAUACAAUUCACUUUAAUGGACUUUUACAUAUAUAAUCAUCUAAUAAAAACAGGUGUGGGGCAUAAUGAUUUUUCCAGGGGGUAGUCUAGCUAUCUCAUAGGGUUUAAGUUACUGAAAAUUAAGUUGAAAUAAAAUUGGCACAGACAUAGAUAUUCUGUUGUAUGUAACAGAGUAAAUCUUUUGUACUACUGUGGCAGAAACCCAAGUGUUUCUGUGCUCUGGAGUGACAUUGUUUUAAAGACAGGACAUCUGGUGACUACAACUCAGGGGAAGCCACAAAUCAUCUUUGAGAGUUAACCUGACACAAGCAACCAUCUUUAGAUUUUUAUCAAUGCAAGAAAAAAAUUAAUCUUCAUUCUGGUUGGGUCAUCGUUUCUCUUAUCUGCUUGCUUGUUCUUUGUGGAGGCAUUUUGGGAUAGUGGAAAGGUGGUUUCAUUUACUAGCUGAAUAACCUUGAACAAAUUGUGGAACUUCCUUAUUGUCAGUGUCAUCCUCUAUUAAAAGUCAGCGUAACAAUUAUUAUUCCUGAUUGGUUUAAGAAUUAAAUAAAACAGUCUGACCAUCACCUGGUACAUGGUAGAUAGUAAAGUUAAUUCCUUUCCUAAAGCUAUUAUUGUGUCUUCUUUUAAUACCCAUCAAUCAAGAAAGCAACCAGGAAGGGAAUCCAUUUCACUCAGGCCCCUUUGUCCUGGAGGUCCUCAUUUCUAAGUGUUUCAUUCUGGAAAAAUAAGUUGGAAGUUUUUCAUUUGCUUCAGCACCACUCCACUGGCUUGCCACAUCUUCCUUGGUCUCCUUGGACAGUGUGGUAACUCAGUAUUCCAGCUUUCUAUCAUACUUGGGGUUAUGGCCAGAGUGACAGAAUGGGCCCAGACCCUGCAGAGUUGAGUAGACGGGCCUCCAGACUAAAUAAAUCAGGAUUGUUCAACCAUUUACAAUAGCCACCCUGGCCUGGAACUAGCCUUUUGCCAUCAGAGUUCCUGGAAAGCAGCAAUUUUGUGAUGCACUUUGUGGGCUAUCAGGAUUACAUCCAAAGUUAACAAACACUACUAAAAAAAGUUUUGGGAUUCAAUAAAUUAGGAAAAUGCUGCAUAACUGCCUCUCAAAUUCUUAUGUGCAGUUAAGUGCUUUGAGAAAUUGCACAGUGAAGAACCUUGUUGAACUUUUUUCACCCUGGCACCUCCCAAACUCAUUGAACUAUUGAACUAGAGCCCUGUUUUUGGGAAGUCACUAUUAAUGUCCAGUGGCUCUUCUGUAUCCCAUCUACCAUUUUCCUUGAAGUGCCUAACCUCCAAAAGAGGUUGCAUACUUCCCAAACAUGUUAAGACAGGUAAGCCCUGGAAACUUAUGUUCUCAUGUAACAUUUCACUCUUUGCUUUAUGAUUUUAUAAGCUGAGCUUCUGUUUGUGUGCUUGUUCUGACUGAUUUGUUCUUUCACCCUGUGUAGCCUAAUGCAUGGAAAGCUAACAGGAUGGAGCACAAGUCAGGAUCCCUUUCCUCUAGCCGGGAGUCUGCUUUUACCAGUCCAAUCUCUGUUACCAAACCAGUGGUACUGGCUAGUGGUGCAGCUCUGAGUUCUCCCAAAGAGAGUCCCUCCAGCACCACCCCUCCAAUUGAGAUCAGCUCCUCUCGUCUGACCAAGUUGACCCGCCGAACCACCGACAGGAAGAGUGAGUUCCUGAAAACUCUGAAGGAUGACCGGAAUGGAGACUUCUCAGAGAACAGAGACUGUGACAAGCUGGAAGAUUUGGAGGACAACAGCACACCUGAACCAAAGGAAAAUGGGGAGGAAGGCUGUCAUCAAAAUGGUCUUUCCCUCCCUGUAGUGGAAGAAGGGGAGGUUCUCUCACACUCUCUAGAAGCAGAGCACAGGUUAUUGAAAGCUAUGGGUUGGCAGGAAUAUCCUGAAAACGAUGAGAAUUGCCUUCCCCUCACAGAGGAUGAGCUCAAAGAGUUCCACAUGAAGACAGAGCAGCUGAGAAGAAAUGGCUUUGGAAAGAAUGGCUUCUUGCAGAGCCGCAGUUCCAGCCUGUUCUCCCCUUGGAGAAGCACUUGCAAAGCAGAGUUUGAGGACUCAGACACCGAAACCAGUAGCAGUGAAACAUCAGAUGACGAUGCCUGGAAGUAGGCAUAUAAAUGCUCACAGUUAAAUCUGACCCAGUAAACUCUGUGUGUUUAGGGAGUAUACAAAAGAAAUCGUUCUUUUCCUUUUCUUAUGUUGUUGAAUACUUCAUUCACAAGGGAAAUAAUCAUAUCCCAAAGAGAGAGCGAUUGGCUUGUUUUGCUUUUGUUGUUGUUCUUCCCUGUUAUCUGCUUAAUAGAAGUUUGUGUGGUGGGACAGAUUUUUUAAACACACUCACACACACACACACACAUACACACCCAGUAUAUAUGGGGCGAUGCACAGGUAGGAGCUGGCAGUGCAGGGAAGAGGAGACACUGGUCUGCAGCAACAGCUUCUACUACCAGCCCUUGGGGCACUCACCCCUGUGAUCAAGCAAUCAUUGUCAAUGACAAAGUGACUAUUGAAGUUAUAAUUGUAUUAAAUUAAUGCUAAUAAUUUGGAUAUUUUAUUUUAUUUUUGGCUGCUCGGGUAACUUUAGCCCUUAACCAAGCAUAUGUGGGUUUUUUUGGUUGUUUUUUUGUUUUUGUUUUUUUUCUUUUUCCUUUUUGGGUACAGCUGUAAAAUAUUUGGAUAUAGGAAAUGUUGUGUUAUUCUUGCAGCCUUGAUAUUCAGGGUGGAUUGUAAAAUAUAAAUUUUUGUGAGAUUUCAAAGAUUAAGAUUAUUUUGAUAACAUUAUUUACAGAUUUAAAAGAUGUGGUUAUCACAAGUCUCGAGGGGGAAACUACUGCAUAAAAUAACUAACUUGGAAUAAAUAUUUUGCAUCAGUUUGGAUUGUCUUGUGUAAGAAGUAUAUUUUCUUUAAAAUUAGAUGAGUGGAUUCUUUUUUAGGGGAAAUAUUUUUAGAAGUUGGGGGGAAAUGUGAAUUCAGACACAACUGUUUCUCUAUUUUAGCAGAUACUUUUUUGAUGCAGAAAAACCUGUGCAAUAAAUUACCAGUAAUAAAGUCAGAAACCAA
rnacentral:sRNA from 1 species